rnacentral:rRNA from 1 species
AGUGAACGCUGGCGGUAGGCCUAACACAUGCAAGUCGAACGGCAGCACAGUAAGAGCUUGCUCUUACGGGUGGCGAGUGGCGGACGGGUGAGGAAUACAUCGGAAUCUACUUUUUCGUGGGGGAUAACGUAGGGAAACUUACGCUAAUACCGCAUACGACCUACGGGUGAAAGCAGGGGAUCUUCGGACCUUGCGCGAUUGAAUGAGCCGAUGUCGGAUUAGCUAGUUGGCGGGGUAAAGGCCCACCAAGGCGACGAUCCGUAGCUGGUCUGAGAGGAUGAUCAGACACACUGGAACUGAGACACGGUACAGACUCCUACGGGAGGCAGCAGUGGGGAAUAUUGGACAAUGGGCGAAAGCCUGAUCCAGCCAUACCGCGUGGGUGAAGAAGGACUUCGGGUUGUAAAGCCCUUUUGUUGGGAAAGAAAGGCAGCAGGUUAAUACCCCGCUGUUCUGACGGUACCCAAAGAAUAAGCACCGGCUAACUUCGUG